UACGUAGGGACCGAGCGUUGUCCGGAUUCAUUGGGCGUAAAGAGCUCGUAGGCGGCUGCUCAAGUCGAAUGUGAAAACUCGAGGCUCAACCUCGAGCCUGCAUUCGAUACUGGGCGGCUAGAGUCUGGUAGGGGGAUCUGGAAUUCCUGGUGUAGCGGUGAAAUGCGUAGAGAUCUGGAGGAAUACCGGUGGCGAAGGCGGCCCCCUGGACGAAGACUGACGCUCAGGUGCGAAAGCGUGGGGAGCAAACAGG
rnacentral:rRNA from 1 species